AUUGAACGCUGGCGGCAUGCCUUACACAUGCAAGUCGAACGGCAGCGGACCUUCGGGUGCCGGCGAGUGGCGAACGGGUGAGUAAUAUAUCGGAACGCACCUUUCAGUGGGGGAUAACGUAGCGAAAGUUACGCUAAUACCGCAUAUUCUGUGAGCAGGAAAGCAGGGGAUCGCAAGACCUUGCGCUGAUUGAGCGGCCGAUAUCAGAUUAGCUAGUUGGUGAGGUAAAGGCUCACCAAGGCGACGAUCUGUAGCGGGUCUGAGAGGAUGAUCCGCCACACUGGAACUGAGACACGGUCCAGACUCCUACGGGAGGCAGCAGUGGGGAAUUUUGGACAAUGGGCGCAAGCCUGAUCCAGCCAUGCCGCGUGAGUGAAGAAGGCCUCGGUU
rnacentral:rRNA from 1 species